rnacentral:rRNA from 1 species
GAUCCUGGCUCAGAAUCAACGCUGGCGGCGUGCCUAAUACAUGCAAGUCGAACGCGAAAGCCCCGCAAGGGGCAAGUAGAGUGGCAAACGGGUGAGUAACGCGUGGGCGACCUACCUUCGAGUGGGGGAUAACAUUCCGAAAGGAGUGCUAAUACCGCAUGACAUCCCGUGUUUGGAUACACGGACAUCAAAGCCGGGGAUCGCAAGACCUGGCGCUUGGAGAGGGGCCCGCGUCCGAUUAGCUAGUUGGUGGGGUAACGGCCCACCAAGGCUUCGAUCGGUAUCCGGCCUGAGAGGGCGGACGGACACACUGGAACUGAGACACGGUCCAGACUCCUACGGGAGGCAGCAGUAGGGAAUUGUUCGCAAUGGGCGCAAGCCUGACGACGCAACGCCGCGUGGAGGAUGAAGACUUUCGGGUCGUAAACUCCUUUCGACCGAGAUGAAUACCUUCCGGCUUAAUACGCUGGAAGGCUGACAGUAUCGAGGGAAGAAGCCCCGGCUAACUCCGUGCCAGCAGCCGCGGUAAUACGGGGGGGGCAAGCGUUGUUCGGAAUUACUGGGCGUAAAGGGUUCGUAGGUGGCCAACUAAGUCAAACGUGAAAUCCCUCAGCUCAACUGGGGAACUGCGUCUGAUACUGGUUGGCUUGAGUGCAGGAGAGGAACGCGGAAUUCCAGGUGUAGCGGUGA